rnacentral:rRNA from 1 species
AGAUUGAACGCUGGCGGCAUGCCUUACACAUGCAAGCCGAACGGCAGCACGGGAGCAAUCCUGGUGGCGAGUGGCGAACGGGUGAGUAAUACAUCGGAACGUGCCCAGUAGUGGGGGAUAACCCGGCGAAAGCCGGACUAAUACCGCAUACGACCUACGGGUGAAAGCAGGGGAUCGCAAGACCUUGCGUUAUUGGAGCGGCCGAUGUCAGAUUAGCUUGUUGGCGGGGUAAAAGCCCACCAAGGCGACGAUCUGUAGCUGGUCUGAGAGGACGACCAGCCACACUGGGACUGAGACACGGCCCAGACUCCUACGGGGGGCAGCAGUGAGGAAUUUUCGUCAAUGGGGGCAACCCUGAACGAGCAACGCCGCGUGCAGGAAGAAGGUUUUCGGAUCGUAAACUGCUUUUCUCGGGGAAGAGAACGGACGGUACCCGAGGAAUCAGCCCCGGCUAACUACGUGCCAGCAGCCGC